CUGCAGCCAAUUAAGCCGACUGGCGCCCUCUCCCCAUGGGGGCCGUGUGCAGUGGCUGCAGACAGCAGCUUCCUUGGUAGUGCAUGUGGCCUGUUGCCUGUACAGGUUGUCCUAAGGAAUCUUGGAGACAGCU
rnacentral:snoRNA from 1 species